GCCACGGCCAUACCAGCCUGGGUACGCCCGAUCUCGUCUGAUCUCGGAAGCUAAGCAGGGUCGGGCCUGGUUAGUACUUGGAUGGGAGACCGCCUUGGAAUACCAGGUGCUGUAAGCA
rnacentral:rRNA from 1 species